GACAGAGGGUGCAAACGUUGUUCGGAAUUACUGGGCGUAAAGCGUGUGUAGGCUGCCCCGCAAGUCGGAUGUGAAAGCCCUGGGCUCAACCUGGGAAGUGCAUUCGAAACUGCGGGGCUGGAGUCCUGGAGAGGAAGGCGGAAUUCUCGGUGUAGAGGUGAAAUUCGUAGAUAUCGAGAGGAACACCGGUGGCGAAGGCGGCCUUCUGGACAGUGACGUGACGCU
rnacentral:rRNA from 1 species